GCAGAAGAAUGGUUAUGAUGGAGGCGCGGCAGCCGAUCAAGCAGCUCAUCCACUCGGCUUCCUUCGGCUCAAGCUACUCCGUCAAAAUCCGAAACUCUUCCCCUCGCGUAAUCGUUCGGCGCUCAUCCACUUCCCCCUCCGGCAGCGACUCCAUUCCAGUUAUCUGUAUCAAGAAGAUUGGUGGAUUUGAAAAAGUUUGUAAGAUAGGCCGAUUAUUUUCAAAUGAAGUCAACUCAAACUGUUGUAAUCCUGAAUUCACCACCAUCGAGAAACUCAGAAAUCAGAAAAUGCGGCGCUUAUUCUCUCUCCAACAUAGAAACCACUUUUCAAGCUAUGUGUCUUCAGCCAGCUCACGGAUAGCAUGCUUUGCCCGUUUGGGUCAAAUCAAGGAUGCUCGCAAAGUUUUUGAUCAAUUGCUUAACAAAGAUGUUGCUUCAUGGAAUGCCAUAAUCUCUUGUUACUUCCAAAAUCACCGGCCUAUUGAAGCUCAACAAUUGUUUGAUCAAAUGCCUAGAAGGAAUAUUGUUUCUUGGAAUGGGUUGAUUUCAGGCUAUAUGAAAAAUAGGAUGGUAAAUGAGGCAAGAAAGGUGUUUGAACGAAUGCCUGAACGGAAUGUUGUGUCAUGGACGGCUCUUGUUAGAGGGUAUGCUGAGGAAGGGUUGAUAUCUGAGGCUGAAAGCCUUUUCUGGCAAAUGCCAGAAAAGAAUGUGGUGUCGUGGACUGUAAUGUUGGGAGGUUUGAUUCAGGCUGGGAGAAUUGGUGAGGCAAAGAGACUUUAUGACAUGAUGCCAGUGAAGGAUGUGGUGUCAAUGACUAACAUGAUUGGUGGGUAUUGUCUAGCAGGAAGGGUGGAUGAGGCACGUGAAAUCUUUGAUAGCAUGGAAGUAAAGAAUGCCAUUUCUUGGACUUCUAUGGUCACAGGUUAUGCUGAAAAUGACAGGGUAGAUAUUGCCAGGAAGCUUUUUGAGGUCAUGCCUGAGAAGGAUGAGGUGUCGUGGACAUCAAUGCUGCUAGGGUACACUCAGAAUGGAAGAAUUGAAGAAGCAUGGAAGUUGUUCAAAGAGAUGCCUGUAAAACCAACAGCUGCUUGUAAUGCAAUCAUACUUGGGGUAGGACAAAAUGGAGAGGUUGACAAGGCAAGGAUGGUGUUUGAUUCUACAAAGGAAAAGGAUGAUGGAACUUGGAGUGCUAUGAUUAAAGUUUAUGAAAGGAAAGGCUAUGAACUAAAUGCACUUAGUUUAUUCCGUUUGAUGCAAAAGGAAGGAGUUCGUCCAAAUUUCCCUUCAUUGAUUAGCAUACUCUCAGUUUGUGCAAGUCUUGCAACUAUUGAUUAUGGCAGAGAGAUACAUGCGUUAUUAAUCAGAUCCAAGCUUGAUGAAGAUAUUUAUGUCUCCUCAGUGCUAAUUACAAUGUAUGUUAAAUGUGGUGAUCUUGUCAGGGCAAGAAGAAUCUUUGACAGGUUAUCUUCUAAGGAUACUGUCACGUGGAAUUCUAUUAUAACAGGUUAUGCUCGGAAUGGUUUAGGAGAAGAAGCACUUGAAGUGUUUAGAGAAAUGUGUUCACAGGGCAUUGCACCAGAUGGGGUUACCUUUGUGGGAGUUCUGUCUGCUUGCAGCUACACUGGAAAGGUGAAAGAAGGGCAGGAUAUAUUUGAGUCCAUGAAUUCAAAAUACCUAUUAGAGCCAGAAUGUGAGCAUUAUGCUUGUAUGGUAGAUCUACUUGGUAGAGCUGGUCGCUUGACUGAGGCAAUGGAUUUGAUAGAAAAAAUGCCUAUGGAAGCAGAUGCAGUUAUAUGGGGUUCUUUGCUUGCUGCUUGUAGGAUGCAUAUGAACUUAGAUUUUGGUGAAGUUGCUGGAAAAAAACUUUUACAGCUUGAGCCUGAAAAAACGGGUUCUUAUGUCCUACUUUCUAAUAUUUAUGCAACAAAAGGUAGGUGGGCUGAUGCUGCUGCAGUAAGGAGAGACAUGCGAUCUAGGAAAUUGAUUAAGUCACCUGGUUGCAGCUGGCUUGUGGUGGAGAAGAAAGUGCAUAUGUUCACUGGUGGAGAAAGCAAACCCCAUCCUGAACAUCAAAUGAUCAUCAAAAUGUUGGAUAAAUUGGGUUCCAUGUUAAGAGAAGCUGGAUAUUAUCCUGAUGGUAGCUUUGUUCUACAUGAUGUGGAAGAAGAAGAGAGGGUGCAGAGCUUGCGUUAUCACCGUGAGAAGCUGGCUGUGGCAUAUGGACUUCUCAAGUUGCCUGGGGGAAUGCCUAUAAGAGUGAUGAAAAAUCUGCGGGUUUGUGGGGAUUGCCAUUCUGCUAUAAAGCUAAUAGCUAAAGUCACAGGACGAGAGAUCAUUCUUAGAGAUGCAAAUAGAUCUCAUCACUUUAAAGAUGGCUCCUGUUCAUGCAGAGACUAUUGGUGAUUUCACUUACAUAAUGUCAAUAGAUUGGCAAAAGUCCUGAAUUUUCAGUUCAGUAACUUCCAUCCCUUGAGGCCCAAUGGUGAAUAUCCAGCUUUUAGUUGAAAGGAAUUGGUGAUCAGUAUUUUCUCCUUCCAGUUGAGCUGUUCGAACAAGCUUAUAGGAAGGUUUACGAGAGAAUUGAAUGAUAUCAUCUCCUUGAAAUUUACUUUCAUUCUGGGGGUUGAAGAAGAGAGAUAAGAAGGUGAAAGUGGUGGUGUCAGAAGCUGCAUAAGAAAAACAGCAAUGGAGAUUGAGCGGGGAGGGUACAGUGUGGGUAAUAUAUUUGAAGAAUUUCUGAGAUCAAGGAUUUUGAAUCCAGCACCUCUAAUGGGUGGGACAGCUGGACUUGAUAUUUAUGGAUGCUCUAUACCCAAAGCCAAAGAUCAAACUCUUAAUGUUUGGUUAAGGAUGGAUGAUCCUUUCUCUUACUUGGCAAAAGCCAAUAUUGGACUUGCUGGUGAUUAAGCUAUCCAGUAAACUGUAUGAAUAAUAAAUCUUAAUU